rnacentral:rRNA from 1 species
AGGCACCUGCACAGGUGCUGCAUGGCUGUCGUCAGCUCGUGUCGUGAGAUGUUGGGUUAAGUCCCGCAACCGAGCGCAACCCUUAUCCCCAGUCGCCAUCAGGUAAAGCUGGGAACUCUGGGGAGACUGCCGGUGAUAAACCGGAGGAAGGCGGGGAUGACGUCAAGUCCUCAUGGCCCUUACAUCCCGGGCUACACACGUGCUACAAUGGCAGGUACAGAGGGCUGCAAAGCCGCGAGGUAGAGCGAAUCCCAGAAAACCUGUCUCAGUCCGGAUUGAAGUCUGCAACUCGACUUCAUGAAGGCGGAAUCGCUAGUAACCGCGAAUCAGCAGGUCGCGGUGAAUACGUUCCCGGGCCUU